rnacentral:rRNA from 1 species
AAAUGAAUAGACGGGGGCCCGCACAAGCGGUGGAGCAUGUGGCUUAAUUCGAUGCAACGCGAGGAACCUUACCUGGGCUAAAUUCUCGGUGCAACCUCUGGAAACAGGGGGUCCCUUCGGGGCGCCGAGGAAGGUGCUGCAUGGCUGUCGUCAGCUCGUGCCGUGAGGUGUUGCCUUAAGUGGCGCAACGAGCGCAACCCCUGUGGUCAGUUACCAGCACGUUAUGGUGGGGACUCUGGCCAGACUGCCUACGCAAGUAGUGAGGAAGGUGGGGACGACGUCAAGUCAUCAUGGCCCUUACGUCCAGGGCUGCACACGUGCUACAAUGGAUGAUACAGAAGGCUGCCACCCGGCGACGGGGCGCAAAUCCUUAAAGUCAUUCUCAGUUCGGAUUGGAGUCUGCAACUCGACUCCAUGAAGUUGGAAUCGCUAGUAAUCGCGUAUCAGCAAUGGCGCGGUGAAUACGUUCCCGGGCCUUGUACACACCGCCCGU